rnacentral:tRNA from 1 species
GGGGAUAUAGUUCAAUGGUAGAACGGUAAGCUGUUGGAAGUUCGAUUCUUCCUAUCCCCUCCA